GCCCAGCACAGCACAAGCAGCUCCCACUGCUCUCCUGCAGCUCAUCCCAGCUGGAGAGAGGCUCCUGCAGGGCUGGGGCUGCCAGGGAUGCUGUGCCCCCACAGCCGGGCACACUGAGCUCUGCCACCCUCCCUGUGCCUGCUGUCCCUGCACAGGGCUGGGUAUGAGUUAAUCCUAGCUGAGGGGCACUGAUUUGAGCGUGAUAACUAAUACUGAAGCGGGUAAUCCUCCACGUGUGUGUCUGCUGGAGGGCUGUGCUGGGGAAGGAGAGGGGCUGCAGGGCAGGGACACUCCAUGCUGUGUCUGUGCCCCAGCCCCAGAUUCUGAGCCUGUUCUGCCCUGGAGAAACUGCCCCUGUGUGCCACAGCCCCCGGGACACCCCGAGCACGGCACCAGCAGCCCUGGUGUGCCUCGGUGCUGGGGAAGGUCCCAGCAACCUGCAGGGGGGACACCGGGCUCUGCGGCUCAGGGAUCACCUGUGGCACAAGGAAGCAGCUGUGCAGCUCAGCCCACGCAGCCCAGUCCCACACACGGUGAGUGCCACCUCCCACAGAGCCCAGCGAACACAGGGGAGGCAACCAGAGCUUCCCACCAUGGCAGGAGGAGGCAUGGGGGGAACUGGGGAGCACUGAGCCCCCUGGCACCCACACCAGGCUCUGGGCCGGCCACCUGGGAGUGUCCCAGCCCCACGAGGCGCUCUGACGUGUCCCCCCGUACAGGAACAAACCCAGCUGCACAGCUGCCAACACCACUUCUACUUUCAGAUCCCCAAGGCGGGAAACGUUUCAGAUCCUUUUCUGCACAGCUGAGCAGGUCAGGACGAGCGAGCGUUUGGGAGGCUGGGUUGGACAGAUGGAGCAGGAGGCACCGGACAAAGGUCCCUGCUGGUGGCAGUUCAUGAAUUCCCAGCCCAGGGCUGACCCAAGCCAGGUGUGGAGGACACACAUCCCCUUAUGGCCCAGAGCCAGCUGUGCCUGCUGCCCCCACAGCACCACGUCUGCAUGGCCAGCACCUCUGAGAUCCACCCAGCAGAGGAUUUGGCUGCUGCUCACAGGGCC
rnacentral:lncRNA from 14 species